rnacentral:lncRNA from 1 species
ACCGGCACACCGAACUGACAAAGUCAGAACACAGGAAAACAAAAUUACCAGGCUGACAAAUAAACGAAUACGGAUCACCGAACCCCACAAGAACACCGGAACCCCACAAAGAACACCGGAACGAUAAAUAUCAUAAAACCGGAAAACCUAAACAACUGAAAAGCAGAUAACAAGUAAACUAACUUACACUAACUAGUAAGGAAGAGAAAUGUUAGAACGUUUGGGUUGUAAGGGGUUCAAGGUGGUAAUGGGAUUAAGACAGUAGAUUGUUGAAGACAGUAGAAGGUAGAAGAACAUAG